UUUCGCAUGACGGCCUAGGUAAUAUGGAAGGGGAUCAAAGUAGCUGGUCUAAUGAUCAAGUAGCAUCAAGUGAAACAAUUCUAUCAGAGCUAUAUGUGAGAGAUUCCAACGUUCAGGAGAGACUGUCAGCAAGUACUUUGGUGUGGUGUUGAAAGCUGUUUUGGAAUUGGCGAAGGAGAUUAUCGUACCUCCUUCGUUUGAUGUUGUCCCAGAAGAAAUUCGGAUUGAGCCAAAGUUUAAUCGUUACUUCAAUGGGUGCAUAGGCGCUAUGGAUGGCACCCAUAUUCAUGCUACCGUACCUGAAUGUAUGCAAACACGAUUUAGAGGCAAAUACUACGCCGUCGAUUCUGGUUAUGCUUCAAGUCUAGGAUUUUUAACACCAUUUAAAGGCGAACGGUAUCAUAUACCAGAAUUUCGACGAAGUGGGGGACCAACAACAGCAAAGGAAUUGUUCAACCACAGGCAUUCGUCAUUAAGGAAUAUCAUUGAGAGAUCCUUUGCGGCUUUGAAGAAUCGUUUUUUGUUUUGUUUUGAGACAUAUGCCUCCAUUUAAAUUUGAAAAACAAACACAGAUUGUAAUUGCAUGCUGUGCGAUUCAUAACUACAUCAUUGAGCAAGACAGGAUGGAUAAGCAUUUGUCCAUAUAUGGGGAUCCAGAUUAUGUGUGUGAAGCUACUGAACAGGGUACAGAUGAUAUAGUGACGAUCGAAGAGGGAAACGAGAUGAACAUUAUCAGGAAACGUAUUGCCAAUAAAAUGGCUAGGGAUAAUCAUAUGCCGGAGAUUCCAUGAAAUUCGGUUUUCCACUAUUGUAUUGUACUUCCAUUAUUAUUAUUCGAGGAUUAUUUGCUUUUUUUGCCUUUUGUAAUAUAAUGUUGUAUUGUAGGAUUCGUAUUAUGUGUAAUUGAGGAUUUGGUACCAGGUCUUCUUGUAAUGACAUGUUAUUUUGGAAUUUCUGUUCUUUCUA